AGAGAGAGAGAGAGAGAGAGGAGAGAGAGAGGAGAGAGAGAGAGAACUCUCCAUCUCCCCGGAGCGGAGACGACACUCUGAUCUGCUUUAAAGAUUAGAACAGUCCAUUCAGCUGUCUCUGUCAUCAGAGUUAAUCCAGUCGGCAUGUUAAUCACCUGAAAUCUGACUCAACUGAAGAUCUGCAGAGGGGAUGCGGAGGAGACGGGUGGAGCAAUUAAUUACCCCUUAAUGAGAUAGUGUUCUUAUCCAGCUCAGAACCCCUCCCCCAUUGCAGCCUCACAGAGCCUCCCUUACAGCUACACUGCCAAGUCCGCCCUCUUUUCUGAGGGAGUGCAAUUGUUUUCUGAGACUGGGUUUCCUUCCCUGUGCAGUGCUGGCUGUCUUGGAACUCUGUAGACCAGGCUGGCCUUGAAUUCAGACAUCUGGCUGCCUCUGCCUUCCCAGGGUUUUUUGUUUUGUUUUGUUUUUUAAUUUAAAUAAUACAUGUUUUAAAGUUUGUUUGUAUGGUUUUCUUUCAGAUACUAGCCAAAAGCUGGAGCUUGGGAUUUCCUGCCCCUUCUCCGAGGCCCCCGGCCCUUCUCCGAGGACCCCGGCCCUUCUCUGAGGCUCCCCGCACAGGGCUGUUUCCUCACCUCCCUUGCUGCUCUCUUCUCUAUCUUUCUCAUCUGCAGCAUCAAGAUUGACGCACGCCGGCCUUGCUUUUCUCUCAGACUCUCCUUGCUCUUCCUUCCAAGUCCACUACUAAACUCUUCUUUUAGUGAAGUUAAGAACCCAAAGAAUGAGGGCCUAAUUCCUCAGAAGCCGGACCUACUUUGUAUGUUCCUUAGCCACACCCGAGAGGAGCCAGGAGAGACACAAAGAAACGGCCUCAAGUCCAUCUCUGCCUACACGAACAUUUUAGACAUUUUUUCUGCAAUGUUUAUCUGGCAAACCUUUUCUCCUAAGAGGGGGAAAAAACCGUUUCAGAACUGUCUUCUCUAAAGCAGUUAGGAGAACUUUUGUUAGACAUUAAACACGUAGAAACUGCUUGACAAAUCAGGAAAGCCCUCUCUAGGACUCUUUAUCCUCAAGAGUUGGGUACAGAGGCAGAUGAUAGGGGUUGGACCUAUAGCCCUGUGGGUAAAGGCUCUGUUGCCCAGCAACUGACAACAGAGUUUGAACUCAGGGACCCUCCUGGUAAAAGGAGAGAGCACCAACCAAUUCCCUCAGAUUGUCCUCUGGCCGCCCUGCCCCCACCUGCCCCCAAUGAAAUAAAAUGUAAUUAAAAUAUUUUAAAAGAAGUAGAUGAUAGGGAGGACUCCUUUUAACUCUGCAGGUUGACUACUUUUAAUUAAUUAAUGUUGUAAUGAAGAUCAAAGCAAAGGCCUCAUAAAUUCCAGGCAAUUCUCUAUCACUGAAAUACAGCCCUAGCCCACAUUUUGAGGCUUUGAUUUUUGAGUCUUGCACUUAGGCCGUUUGAAGAUCUAUAGGUUCUGACUAGUUUUUGAGUUUUCUCUUAAAAUAAUAACACUCUCUGUCAGUGUUUGCAGCCUAUAAAUUGCUCUCAACGAUUCCAUUGGUUCCCAACAACAUGUAGCGCAUAAUAGGCACAUAUUAAUUUUGAGUUAAUAAUAUGGAUGCUUAAUUCUUGCAACUUCAGGAGUUUUUUUUGUUUUUUUCUUUUCUUUUUUCUUUUUUUUCGGAGCUGGGGACCGAAACCAGGGCCUUGCGCUUGCUAGGCAAGCGCUCUACCACUGAGCUAAAUCCCCAACCCUUCAGGGUUUUUUUUUUUUUUUUUUAAGGCACUGAAGUGUAAUAGACGAAAAAAAAUACUUGGACCCCACUCACUUUAAUUGUGUCCGUAGUGGGAAGUCAGUUACUCCUUAAAUGUUUACCAAAGGAGAAAUGUGGACCACGAACUGGAUCUGGAUACAGAUUGACUUCUGGUCUGGGAUUAAAACACAAAGCUAGGAAAUUGCUGGAUUGAAGCCAGCACAAACAGCGCCAACACCAGGGCGGUUGUGAUGAGGUCGAAGCUCCUGCAUCAGAAUUGAAGGAACAAUACGGGCGGAUCCCUAGACUUGUGGGCCACACAGCACAGCCAAUUUGAUUCGGUCUUAACUAAGGUAGACAGCUACCGAGGAACACACCCGGAUGUCCACCUCUGGCCAAUAUGCUCCCCUUCUACAAGCACGCAUGCACGCAUGCACGCACGCACGCACGCGUACAGGAACACAUUCACAAAGCCCAUACGUCAGGUUACAUGUUUUAUAUUAAUAUACACAGGAAGAAUGGGUAGGACUUUAUUGAUGUUAUCUAAGGAACACUAGAUGUACUGGGUUUUGUAAAUCCAGGGCAAGACUAUUUAGCGAUUGCAUCCCAAUCAUUUAACUGUUGUGUUUCUUCAGAAUUUGGAAAGCCAGCCUGAGGAGAGGAAAUAGAGGAGGUCUCGGAAAGAGGUGGCCGAUGCUACGGGAGAGCAUCCCAAUUAUUCUGAUCAUCUUAAUGAUGGUUGAUCAGUUGCAAGAGUCAUUCCUAUCCAUCUUUUUUUUUUUUUUUUUUUUUUUUUUGGUUCUUUUUUUCGGAGCUGGGGACCGAACCCAGGGCCUUGCGCUUCCUAGGUAAGUGCUCUACCACUGAGCUAAAUCCCCAGCCCCCAUUCCUAUCCAUCUUAAAGAUGCCUACGAUAGGAGCAGGAGCGAUCGGUCUCACUGAAGCAAUUUGAUGGCAGAAGGUAACGGUCUGAGAAAGGAAACUGAAAAGCUGACGGAGUCUACUGCAGAUGACUUAGUCACUCGGCCUUCCCAAUCCCACGUUUCUGCCUAUGAAAUCAGAAAUAAAUUUCUCUCCCAUUCCUAUUGGAUAUUGCAGAUUCCUGUUUCCAUGGUGCCUUCCAGCGAUGGAGAAGGAGUGGGUGUUUCUUCUUUUUUUUCCCAGACUUUACAAAACUCAGUCCUUGAAAUAAGAAAUGCUGCAGUAUAUAGGGGAGAAGGAAGAAAGUUGUUCUGGACUCUUCUGUAAUGGAAGAAAGGAGUCCGCCAGGUCACAAACUUCAGUGAGCACGCAUUCCUUUAAGUGAUUUACAUUAAAAAUAUCCAGC